UGAGCUCAAGGGGCGGCUGACCCAGAUGGCGGAGCUUUCCUGUGCUUGACUUGCCCCCCUCUUCUGCCCUCCAGAUCUACUUCAUGUGCUCCACGGAGGUGUGCCUGCCCUCCGAGCGGCGCUGUGUGGAGGGCUGCUUCGAUGGCCGCAAGAUCCCGGUGCUUGAGAACCCGAAUGCUGACCGGCGCUGCACCAGGCUGCCCUGCCCGGGAAAGGAGACCCCUCCUGACUCCUAGAGGGAGGGAGUCCUCACUGGCUCUCGGCCUGGGGAGGCUGCUGGGAGGGAGGGGGAUCGGUCUUCAUGCAAGUCUGGAGGUGCUGUGAUGUCAGAGAAAGUAAUAAAGAUUGGUUUACCUUGAA